rnacentral:rRNA from 1 species
CGUGCAGGCGGCCUUGCAAGUCGGACGUGAAAUCCCACGGCUCAACCGUGGAAGUGCAUUCGAAACUGCGAGGCUGGAGUCCUGGAGAGGAAAGUGGAAUACUCGGUGUAGAGGUGAAAUUCGUAGAUAUCGAGUGGAACACCGGUGGCGAAGGCGGCUUUCUGGACAGGUACUGACGCUGAGACGCGAAAGCGUGGGGAGCAAACA